rnacentral:rRNA from 2 species
GUCUGUUUGAAGGUAUAAAAAGUUUAACCUGCCCACUGAUAAAUUUUUUAAAGGGCCGCGGUAUUCUGACUGUGCAAAGGUAGCAUAAUCGUUAGUUUUUUAAUUGGAAUCUUGUAUGAAUGGUUUGACAAAAGAAAAUCUGUCUUUAUAAUUAUUUAUUGAAUUUAACUUUUAAGUGAAAAGGCUUAAAUAAAUUAAAAAGACGAUAAGACCCUAUAAAGCUUAAUAUUAAAUUUUUAUUUAAUUAAAUUUUAAAUUAUAAUAAAGAUUUGGUAAAUAAAUUUUAUUUUGUUGGGGUGAUAAUGGUAAAAUGAUUAUUAACUGUUAAUUUUUUUAGACAAAAAUAAAUGAAUAAUAAUUUGUUGUAAAGGAUCCUGUAUUAAAGAUUAAAAGUUUAAGUUACUUUAGGGAUAACAGCGUUAUUUUUUUUGAGAGUUCUUAUCGAGAAAAAAGUUUGCGACCUCGAUGUUGAAUUAAAAUAUCUAUAUAAUUGUAGCAGUUAUAUAAGAAGGUCUGUUCGACCUUUAAAAUUUUACAUGAUUUGAGUUCAGACCGGCGUAAGCCAGGUCGGUUUCUAUCUUUUAAUAUUUAAAAAAUUAUUUUAGUACGAAAGGAUUAGAUAAUUAAAAUUAUUUUUAAUAAUUGAAUGAAAAG